rnacentral:rRNA from 1 species
UACGAAGGGGGCUAGCGUUGCUCGGAAUCACUGGGCGUAAAGGGUGCGUAGGCGGACUCUUAAGUCGGUGGUGAAAUCCUGGAGCUCAACUCCAGAACUGCCUUUGAUACUGAAGAUCUUGAGUUCGGGAGAGGUGAGUGGAACUGCGAGUGUAGAGGUGAAAUUCGUAGAUAUUCGCAAGAACACCAGUGGCGAAGGCGGCUCACUGGCCCGAUACUGACGCUGAGGCACGAAAGCGUGGGGAGCAAA